rnacentral:sRNA from 1 species
CUCAGAAGCAAAACGUGCAGAAUGAGAACCUGCUGCAGGUUCGAGUCGAACGCAGUGAGACAACGUUGUUUACAACGGCCCGAAGGGCGAGCGAAGCGAGUCAUCCUGCACGACCCUCCC